rnacentral:rRNA from 1 species
ACUCCGAAUACCAGUAAGUAAUAUCCGGGAGACACACGGCGGGUGCUAACGUCCGUCGUGAAGAGGGAAACAACCCAGACCGCCGGCUAAGGUCCCAAAGUUCUGGUUAAGUGGGAAACGAUGUGGGAAGGCUCAGACAGCUAGGAUGUUGGCUUAGAAGCAGCCAUCAUUUAAAGAAAGCGUAAUAGCUCACUAGUCGAGUCGGCCUGCGCGGAAGAUGUAACGGGGCUCAAACCAGGCACCGAAGCCGCGGAUUCACACUUAUGUGUGAGUGGUAGGGGAGCGUUCUGUAAGUCUGCGAAGGUGUAUCGAGAGGUAUGCUGGAGAUAUCAGAAGUGCGAAUGCUGACGUAAGUAACGAUAAAGGGGGUGAAAAGCCUCCUCGCCGGAAGACCAAGGGUUCCUGUCCAACGUUAAUCGGGGCAGGGUGAGUCGACCCCUAAGGUGAGGCCGAAAGGCGUAAUCGAUGGGAAGCAGGUUAAUAUUCCUGCACGACUUGUAAUUGCGAUGGGGGGACGGAGAAGGCUAGGUGGGCCAGGCGACGGUUGUCCUGGUGAAAGUGCGUAGGUGGUGUUUCUAGGCAAAUCCGGAGACACAACACUGAGACACGAGACGAAGCCACUACGGUGGUGAAGCCAUUGAUGCCCUGCUUCCAGGAAAAGCCUCUAAGCUUCAGAUUACAAGUCAUCGUACCCCAAACCGACACAGGUGGUCGGGUAGAGAAUACCAAGGCGCUUGAGAGAACUUGGGUGAAGGAACUAGGCAAAAUAGAACCGUAACUUCGGGAGAAGGUUCGCUCUUGACAGUGAAGUCCCUUGCGGAUGGAGCAGUUGGGAGUCGCAGUGACCAGAUGGCUGGGACUGUUUAUCAAAAACACAGCACUCUGCAAACACGAAAGUGGACGUAUAGGGUGUGACACCUGCCCGGUGCCGGAAGGUUAAUUGAUGGGGUUAGCGCAAGCGAAGCUCUUGAUCGAAGCCCCGGUAAACGGCGGCCGUAACUAUAACGGUCCUAAGGUAGCGAAAUUCCUUGUCGGGUAAGUUCCGACCUGCACGAAUGGUGUAACCAUGGCCAUGCUGUCUCCACCCGAGACUCAGUGAAAUCGAAUUCGCCGUGAAGAUGCGGUGUACCCGCGGCUAGACGGAAAGACCCCGUGAACCUUUACUACAGCUUGGCACUGAACAUUGAACCUACAUGUGUAGGAUAGGUGGGAGGCUUUGAAGGCGUGACGCCAGUUGCGCUGGAGCCGUCCUUGAAAUACCACCCUUGUAUGUUUGAUGUUCUAACGCAGGGCCCUGAAUCGGGCUCGCGGACAGUGCCUGGUGGGUAGUUUGACUGGGGCGGUCUCCUCCCAAAGAGUAACGGAGGAGCACGAAGGUUGGCUAAUCCUGGUCGGACAUCAGGAGGUUAGUGCAAUGGCAUAAGCCAGCUUAACUGCGAGACGGACAGGUCGAGCAGGUACGAAAGUAGGUCAUAGUGAUCCGGUGGUUCUGAAUGGAAGGGCCAUCGCUCAACGGAUAAAAGGUACUCCGGGGAUAACAGGCUGAUACCGCCCAAGAGUUCAUAUCGACGGCGGUGUUUGGCACCUCGAUGUCGGCUCAUCACAUCCUGGGGCUGAAGUCGGUCCCAAGGGUAUGGCUGUUCGCCAUUUAAAGUGGUACGCGAGCUGGGUUCAGAACGUCGUGAGACAGUUCGGUCCCUAUCUGCCGUGGGCGUUGGAUGAUUGAAGGGAGUUGCUCCUAGUACGAGAGGACCGGAGUGAACGAACCUCUGGUGUUCGGG